CUUCUACAAUCUUUUUGCAGUUGUCUUAGUCUCGACAUUAAAAAGAACAGUAUCCUCCAAUGCUAGGAAUAGGUUUGCCAAAACCAUCUCAUCUUUCUCUAUGAACUGUUUAUCUCUCAUCUCUUCCAACUUGUCUUUUUUAUCGAGGAGAGCCACUGUGCAACCAUCUUUCACCAGCACCACAUAUAUCUUGAGUUUCUAUAGUGCAAAAUUUGUCCUAUCAAAGCGUGGGAUCUCAAACUUGGUUGCACUCUUUCCUGCC
rnacentral:lncRNA from 1 species